rnacentral:lncRNA from 1 species
CGCCCGAGCCGAGCGGGCGAGCGGAGCUGCGGGGAGCGCGGGCGAAGGCGGCAGGAGGGAGGGCGCGCGGGAGGCGGCCCCUCCUCGGCGAGCCAUGCGUGCCGCGGGCAGCUGAGGAGCCGCCGGGCGCCGCUGCCAAGUCCCCGCUCCGCUUUUGUCUUGCCCUCCAGUGAAUGGGAAGAUGGANCCCAGCAGCGGCCCCAGCCCCAGCCCCAGCAGCGGCCCCAGCCCCAGCAGCGGCCCCAGCAGCUGGCUCAGGAUGAAGUGCCCGGCGAGAGUGCGGGCGCGGAGGACAGCGACGAUCCCGAGGCGACACCCGGCAGCGACAGAGGCGAGAGCAAGACUUUGAGACCUCUGGGCGGUCUUAGACUUCACCUGGAGCCUCCUGUCCAGGAUGCGACCACCUAGGGAAAUUCCAGGGAAAGGUGGCAGAGAUAUCAUGGACUGAAAGGUGAUGGGUACCCCAAUGAGUUCACUACAAGAUCUCAAAGAUUCCAAGCCAUUGGCUGCUCCAAAGCAUAAAGCCACCCUUCUGGAGAGGCGGCAGGAAGGAAGCCUGGAGGAGGUGAGGAAACAUCACUCUUCCCUCUGCCCUU